rnacentral:rRNA from 1 species
UACGUAGGUGGCAAGCGUUGUCCGGAAUUAUUGGGCGUAAAGCGCGCGCAGGCGGUCCUUUUAAGUCUGAUGUGAAAGCCCACGGCUCAACCGUGGAGGGUCAUUGGAAACUGGGGGACUUGAGUGCAGGAGAGAAGAGUGGAAUUCCACGUGUAGCGGUGAAAUGCGUAGAGAUGUGGAGGAACACCAGUGGCGAAGGCGACUCUUUGGCCUGUAACUGACGCUGAGGCGCGAAAGCGUGGGGAGCAAAAGGG